rnacentral:rRNA from 1 species
GAUGAACGCUGGCGGCGUGCCUAAUACAUGCAAGUCGAGCGAACAGACGAGGAGCUUGCUCCUCUGACGUUAGCGGCGGACGGGUGAGUAACACGUGGAUAACCUACCUAUAAGACUGGGAUAACUUCGGGAAACCGGAGCUAAUACCGGAUAAUAUAUUGAACCGUAUGGUUCAAUAGUGAAAGACGGUUUUGCUGUCACUUAUAGAUGGAUCCGCGCCGCAUUAGCUAGUUGGUAAGGUAACGGCUUACCAAGGCAACGAUGCGUAGCCGACCUGAGAGGCUGAUCGGCCACACGGGAACGUAGACACGGUCCAGACUCCUACGGGAGGCAGCAGUAGGGAAUCGUCCGCAAUGGGCGAAAGCCUGACGGAGCAACGCCGCGUGAGUGAUGAAGGUCUUCGGAUCGUAAAACUCUGUUAUUAGGGAAGAACAAAUGUGUAAGUAACUAUGCACGUCUUGACGGUACCUAAUCAGAAAGCCACGGCUAACUACGUG